UCAGCUUUUGCAGGAGAUGUGGCUGUGAAGCCAUGUGCUUCUUUGUUUACAAAAACAUCGACUGUGUUUAAGAAAUUGUGAAGUGGUGAAAUUGUGUAAAUAGUUCUGCAGAGAAUAUAGAUUAUGGACCUCAGCGAUACAACCGGUUUUACGCGGGGAGGGGAAGGUCACGUGAGGGUAACGUUUGUUUACAAUGUACCUCUGCAAAAUGAUUAUGGACACACCAGUUCACCUGGACCAACUGACCGUUUACAGGGCCAUUGAGUCCUGGACUGUGGGAACAUGAAAGCAACGUUUUUAACAAUUCACCCCUAUUCUGUGCCAGUGCAUUUCAAUAAAAUGAGUGGUUUGAGGCUCCUGAUGCUUAAGAAGGUUAAUUGACAAUGUUCUAUGCUGGUACUUUUGUGGAAAGCUUGUUUGCUAUGUCAUAAAGUGCUUACAGUGCAGGUAAUGGUUAUGCCCUACAUACCGCAAUGUGAGCACUUCUGUCACAAGGCAGACGUCCUGUCUUCUAAAAUCUUAUGUGGUCAUCCAUCAUUCUGGUGAUUCAAAAUGUAUUUCAAUCUAUUUAAUCAAUUUACACAUUUUCUGUAAUUGUUGGAAUCCACCAAAUUAUUUAUUUUUGCCCCUUGGUGUCCAAAGUGCUGUUUGUGCAGGUAGAUAAACUCAAACGACCUACUGCAAAUCCAGCACUUCCCCACUCAGAGGGUGCACCACUCAUCGAUUUCCACUAGAGGGCUGGAAUUCCUUGGUCACAAUGGCUGCAAAUAACAUUGCCAGUAUUUUAAAGUGUGGGUUUUGAGGUAUGAUGGAUGGAAAAAACAUUUGAAGAUGCUACUAGUUCUGGUUAGCUUUGCUGGGUGAACAGUCAGCCUGUGAACCUCCAGAGUCGCUGUGCAAACCCAUGCAAAACUGACUAUGACUGGAACUGAUCAAUCAAAUUCAUUAUACAUCAACAGGUGUCACAAAGUGCUUAUACCCAGCCUAAAACACUGAAAUGCAAAUGUUCGGUUUAAUGAAAUUGGAUGUGGGAACUUGUUAUUUGAGUUACACUUCUAUGUGUUUUUACAUUCCAAGUGGAGCUUUUAAGACUAGCUUGUGUUGAGAGGCGGAGUCUUGGGCAAAUGCCAGACGUCUUAAGAGGCAUUGCACUCGUCUCGGUCUGACAGCACUGGCAGAGCGCGACCGCUGGAUCGGAUCAUAGGAGAACAACAAGGGAAGUCAAAACACAAACAGGCCUGGGCUGACAAACUGACCAGGCAGAACAAGAAUGUAAAGCAUGCUUCUUAGAAAAUAUUUCAUCCUGGUUGAUAGUGAGAUCACAUGACAAAAUAUGCAUGAGAAAUGUAAAUGUGAUAUACAGUGUAUGUUUGGAUAACUAAGAAAUAAAG